rnacentral:rRNA from 1 species
GAUGAACGCUGGCGGCGUGCUUAACACAUGCAAGUCGAACGGUGAAGCAGAGCUUGCUCUGUGGAUCAGUGGCGAACGGGUGAGUAACACGUGAGCAACCUGCCCCUGACUCUGGGAUAAGCGCUGGAAACGGCGUCUAAUACUGGAUAUGAGCUGCGACCGCAUGGUCAGCAGUUGGAAAGAUUUUUCGGUCUGGGAUGGGCUCACGGCCUAUCAGCUUGUUGGUGAGGUAAUGGCUCACCAAGGCGUCGACGGGUAGCCGGCCUGAGAGGGUGACCGGCCACACUGGGACUGAGACACGGCCCAGACUCCUACGGGAGGCAGCAGUGGGGAAUAUUGCACAAUGGGCGAAAGCCUGAUGCAGCAACGCCGCGUGAGGGAUGAAGGCCUUCGGGUUGUAAACCUCUUUUAGCAGGGAAGAAGCGAAAGUGACGGUACCUGCAGAAAAAGCGCCGGCUAACUACGUG